AACGAACGCUGGCGGCAUGCCUAACACAUGCAAGUCGAACGAGACCUUCGGGUCUAGUGGCGCACGGGUGCGUAACGCGUGGGAAUCUGCCCUUGGGUUCGGAAUAACUCGCCGAAAGGCGUGCUAAUACCGGAUGAUGACGUAAGUCCAAAGAUUUAUCGCCCAAGGAUGAGCCCGCGUUGGAUUAGCUAGUUGGUGAGGUAAAGGCUCACCAAGGCGACGAUCCAAAGCUGGUCUGAGAGGAUGAUCAGCCACACUGGGACUGAGACACGGCCCAGACUCCUACGGGAGGCAGCAGUGGGGAAUAUUGGACAAUGGGCGAAAGCCUGAUCCAGCAAUGCCGCGUGAGUGAUGAAGGCCUUAGGGUUGUAAAGCUCUUUUACCCGGGAUGAUAAUGACCGUACCGGGAGAAUAAGCUCCGGCUAACUCCGUG
rnacentral:rRNA from 1 species